rnacentral:rRNA from 1 species
AUUGAACGCUGGCGGCAGGCCUAACACACGCAAGUCGAGCGGAUGAAGGGAGCUUGCUCCUGGAUUCAGCGGCGGACGGGUGAGUAAUGCCUAGGAAUCUGCCUGGUAGUGGGGGAUAACGUCCGGAAACGGGCGCUAAUACCGCAUACGUCCUGAGGGAGAAAGUGGGGGAUCUUCGGACCUCACGCUAUCAGAUGAGCCUAGUUCGGAUUAGCUAGUUGGUGGGGUAAAGGCCUACCAAGGCGACGAUCCGUAACUGGUCUGAGAGGAUGAUCAGUCACACUGGAACUGAGACACGGUCCAGACUCCUACGGGAGGCAGCAGUGGGGAAUAUUGGACAAUGGGCGAAAGCCUGAUCCAGCCAUGCCGCGUGUGUGAAGAAGGUCUUCGGAUUGUAAAGCACUUUAAGUUGGGAGGAAGGGCAGUAAGUUAAUACCUUGCUGUUUUGACGUUACCAACAGAAUAAGCACCGGCUAACUUCGUG